UAAUCUGCCCUUCGGCGGGGGACAACAAUCCGAAAGGAUUGCUAAUACCGCAUACGUCGGUGGAGGUUGCGACCUCUGCCGGGAAAGUCGGCCUCUCCAUGGAAGCUGACACCGAAGGAUGAGCCCCGCGGGCCCAUCAGCUAGUUGGUGAGGUAACGGCUCACCAAGGCUAAGACGGGUAGCUGGUCUGAGAGGAUGAUCAGCCACACUGGGACUGAGACACGGCCCAGACUCCUACGGAGGCAGCAGUGGGGAAUAUUGGGCAAUGGGCGCAAGCCUGACCCAGCCACGCCGCGUGAGUGAUGAAGGCCUUCGGGUCGUAAAGCUCUGUGGGGAGGGACGAAAAAACGCUGGCCAAUAUCCAGCGGACUGACGGUACCUCCUUAGCAAGCACCGGCUAACUCCGUGCCAGCAGCCGCGGUAA
rnacentral:rRNA from 1 species